UUGGGACGAAUUCGGCAUCGGCUCCACCAAAGGCUCCACGGAUUUGGCAUCAGCUCCACAGAUUUUCGAUACUGGAGGAUGCAGGUGGUUCGAAGUUCUAUGAUCAUAAGACGCAUUCAGGUCGAUCUCACUCUUCAUGUUCGUGCUCGCUGCGCAGAACGCCACUGCAGCACCGAUGGAAUUGUACGGUGUCAUCAGGCUCGACUAAAUCUAGAUGGGAUGGACUCUACUUGUGUUGAAGGAAAGGAAAUUACACAACUUUAG
rnacentral:misc_RNA from 1 species